CCAAUCGAACCCGGAGAUAGCUGGUUCUCCCCGAAAUAGCUUUAGGGCUAGCGUCGAGGUAGAGAGUUGCGUGAAGGUAGAGCACUGAAUAUGUGAUGGCCCCAUCUCGGGGUACUGAGCAUAAUCAAACUGCGAAUGUCACGGAAACAUACUCGGCAGUCAGACAGCGGGUGAUAAGGUCCGUUGUCAAGAGGGAAACAGCCCAGACCAUCAGCUAAGGUCCCAAAAUGUAUGCUAAGUGGAAAAGGAUGUGGAGAUGUACAGACAACUAGGAGGUUGGCUCAGAAGCAGCCAUCCUUUAAAGAGUGCGUAACAGCUCACUAGUCGAAUGACUCUGCGCCGAUAAUUUACCGGGGCUAAGCAUACUACCGAAGCUAUGGAUCCCAAGGGAUGGUAGGGGAGCGUUCCAUGAACGGAGAAGCGCGAUCGAGAGGACGCGUGGAGAUCAUGGAAGAGAGAAUGCCGGUGUGAGUAGCGGAACGUGGGUGAGAAUCCCACGCACCGAAAACCCAAGGUUUCCAGAGGAAGGUUCGUCCGCUCUGGGUAAGUCGGGACCUAAGGCGAGGCCGAGAGGCGUAGUCGAUGGACAACAGGUAGAGAUUCCUGUACUCAUAUAUAUGUGAAGGAAUGACGGAGAGAGGAAGCUGCAGCCAGCGGCUGGAAGAGCUGGUGCAAGCGAGAUAUCGGGAUGGCAGGCAAAUCCACCAUCCGAAACGAGAAGGCGUGAAGCGUACGGAAAGCUAAGGCGAGUACGGAAGGCAGUGGAGGAGCUUCCAAGAAAAGUUUCUAACGAAAGUAUAUGUGACCCGUACCGAAAAUGGACACACAUGGGUGAGGAGAGAAUCCUAAGGUGAGCGAGAGAACUAUAGCUAAGGAACUCUGCAAAAUGACUCCGUAACUUAGGGAGAAGGAGUGCUCAUAGAGAUAUGAGCCGCAGUGAAACGGCCCAAGCGACUGUUUACCAAAAACACAGCUCUCUGCUAAGCCGCAAGGCGAAGUAUAGGGGGUGACGCCUGCCCGGUGCUGGAAGGUUAAGGGGAGGGGUUAACGCAAGUGAAGCCCUGAACUGAAGCCCCAGUAAACGGCGGCCGUAACUAUAACGGUCCUAAGGUAGCGAAAUUCCUUGUCAGGUAAGUUCUGACCCGCACGAAAGGCGUAACGAUUUGGGCGCUGUCUCAGCUGUAGACUCGGUGAAGUCUUAGUACCUGUGAAGAUGCAGGUUACCCGCGACUAGACGGAAAGACCCCAUGGAGCUUCACUGCAGGUUGAUAUUGGGAUUUGAUGCAGCAUGUACAGGAUAGGUAGGAGGCAAAGAGAUGGAUACGCCAGUAUUCAAGGAGCCGCUGUUGGGAUACUACCCCUGUUGUAUUGGAUUUCUAACCGGACGACGUAAAGCCGUUGACGGGACAGUGUCAGUCGGGCAGUUUGACUGGGGCGGUCGCCUCCCAAAGAGUAACGGAGGCGCCCAAAGAUACCCUCAGCUUGGAUGGAAACCAAGCGCAGAGUGCAAAGGCAAAAGGGUGUUUGACUGCGAGACCUACAAGUCGAGCAGGGACGAAAGUCGGGCUUAGUGAUCCGGCGGUGCUGAAUGGAAAGGCCGUCGCUCAACGGAUAAAAGCUACCCUGGGGAUAACAGGCUGAUCUCCCCCAA
rnacentral:rRNA from 1 species